rnacentral:rRNA from 1 species
AGCAGUAGUAUUACCACACUGUAACUAGAUCUUGUAAGAUCUCAGAAGCUCAACAAGGCUGGACUUGGUCAGUACUGUAAUGGGAGACCUACUGUAUAAGGAAAACCAGGUCGCUGCAGCAU